GUAGGUCACAAGCGUUGUCCGGAAUUACUGGGUGUAAAGGGAGCGCAGGCGGGAAGACAAGUUGGAAGUGAAAUCUAUGGGCUCAACCCAUAAACUGCUUUCAAAACUGUUUUUCUUGAGUAGUGCAGAGGUAGGCGGAAUUCCCGGUGUAGCGGUGGAAUGCGUAGAUAUCGGGAGGAACACCAGUGGCGAAGGCGGCCUACUGGGCACCAACUGACGCUGAGGCUCGAAAGUGUGGGUAGCAAACAGGAUUAGAUACCCUGGUAGUCCACACCGUAAACGAUGAUUACUAGGUGUUGGAGGAUUGACCCCUUCAGUGCCGCAGUUAACACAAUAAGUAAUCCACCUGGGGAGUACGACCGCAAGGUUGAAACUCAAAGGAAUUGACGG
rnacentral:rRNA from 1 species